GCGGAUAUUAUGGUCACCAAAGCAGGGUCCCUGGGUGCAGAACACGACAAUGCGGAAGUAGGGCUGUGUUUCUGGGUUAAAUUGUCGUGGUCCUGACUGUCCUCCUGCAGGCUCGGAGCUGUGAUCAUGAACAGACGUCUGCUGCUGGUGUCCAACUCCACUCUGUAUGGAGGAGGAUAUCUCCAGCACUGUCAAAACAACAUCUCUCAAUUCUUCGGAAAACAGGUGAAGAGAGUCCUGUUCGUCCCGUACGCUUUACACGACCAAGAUGCGUACACCAAGACGGCCAGGGACAAGCUGAAGAGUCUGGGUUAUGAAGUGGACAGUGUUCACGAGGCUGCAGACCCCGUCGAGGCCGUGCGUAAAGCCGAGGCCAUAUUCAUCGGUGGAGGAAACACGUUCCGUCUGCUCAAAGCCCUCUACGAUGACAACCUGGUGACUGAAAUUAAAAAAAGAGUGCUUCAGGAUGGAGUUCCGUACAUGGGUUCGAGCGCCGGCACGAACGUGGCCACAGUGAGCAUUAACACAACUAACGACAUGCCCAUCGUUUACCCCCCCAGCUUCUCCGCCAUCGGCCUCGUCCCAUUCAACAUCAACCCACACUACCUGGACACCGAUCCUAACAGCAGGCACAUGGGGGAAACACGUGAGCAGAGAAUUACUCAGUAUCAUGAGGAGCUGAACACACCAUGUGUGCUGGGUCUGAGAGAAGGAUCCAUGCUGCUGGUGGAAGGAAACACAGUCACGUUACUUGGCACCACCAACGCUAGACUCUUCCAGAGGGGGAAGGAGCCGAGUGAACACGUACCUGGAAGUGAUUUGAGCUUUUUACUGACCGAUGCACAGUAAUGGAUUAAUGAGCAAAUCAGGACAGGACAAAGAACACCAUGGCACAGAUUUAUGAGAAAUGCUGCCCACAUAUGUUCUGAUUCAGAAGUAAAGGAUUGUCUGAGCAGUGUGGGAACCGCUCCAUUUUUCAGGAGUAGCCUUCGUGUGUAGCCUGCGUCAUACUCCACCCGUUUUCAGAAGGCUAAACAAAGGGGUUUCGCUUUCGUACUGAGACACGCAGCAUCUCUGCAACACGGCACCUGAGGUCACUGAAGCCACGCCUUCUGUCUUCAGGAUCGAGGCGUGGUCUGUUAGAGAGAAUAAAUCCCUUUGGAGGAGAGUUUUGGGACCCCUUUAAUCUAACAUGUUAAUAAACUGAUGAAUUAAAACCUCUUUAUUGUCCGUUUAAACCACCUGAGAGAUUCAGACUGAUGAGAAAACACAGCUGAAGUUUAAUCCAUUAUUUAUUUAUUUAAUUAAUUUUAGUCAUGGAAGCGUUACAGAAAUCACCUAAACCUCACUCUGAAAUAAAAUAAAAAAGGGAAAGAUGAAAUACUCGGUGAAAAACGUUAAGGAGUCGAGUUUUAAUUACUGACAUGACUUUUUAUGCACAGACAAAAACCUGACGCAAAUCCUGACAAGUUUAGACGAUUCAGUUGUUUCGAGUGUAAAUGUGACCCAAUAUGGGUAAAUUCAUCCGGCCGAGUGAUCAAACAACAGUAACCAUGGAUACGAUGUAGAACAGGACACUGUCUUGCAUGGAGUGUAAAAUAAUUACAGUGUAAGCACUCGUUAACAAAAUGAACAUAAACCUGCACUGUAGGAGCUCGAAUAGCCGACGUGAGCGCGAGUCUUUCCUCAGAGAAUCAUUCGCUAGUCAGCGUUCUCGCAAGAGAUGCACAGUUUGUUAUUUUAACGACGUUAGAAUUCAUUACAAUAAGGAAGAUCUGUUUUCUGUAGUAAAAUAUAUUUAAUUCUGUGAUGUAUUUUUUACUUAAAGAAGAUUUGUGUUAGCUAUGUAGAGGUCGUAAACAGAAAACGAUAAACACGUUAGGGUACAGGAUACCCACAAUGCACUGCGACUAUACUUCUGUGGGGAAUAGUGAGUGUUUAAGUCUUCAUUUAUUUUGAAACAAAGUGUUUUUUAAUAAUUCAUUAAUUUUGUAUGACUAAUAUGCGUCAUGGAAAGACGUACAAAUCUGUUUGUUUUGUAGAAAAUGGUGCAAAAAAAAAGAAAGAAAAGGAAAUAAUGUUCCAUAACAGUUUAAAAAAUACACAAUAAUAUAAUAUUCACCGUUCAAACCCCAUUCUGGAGUAGGGUGCCUACGUAGACAGCAUGUUUAGUGCAGAAGAUUGAGGGUUCGUGUCAGAAAAGGCAACCCCGUUAUUCACGUCACACUUUAGCAUCAUUUUAUUUGUACGUCGGCCAUUUUGACUUUUCAUCUCACGUCCUUCCUCUGACAUUUUAAUGUUCUGCUCAACUUGUUGGAAUUCUGAGCUUUGCAAAACUCUAACAAACGAUGCUGAUUAUUAGCUGCUAACCAGUUUGUUUACGUUAUUAGCGAGCGUUACCGUGACAACCGUUUGAGAAACAGUGGAUAUCUGUGCUACUGCUGAAUGGUUUUCAUCGCUUUGUGCAACAGUUACAACUGGCAGACUUUUUUUUUUAUAAGCUGUGCAAACGUUUCAGAAAGAAGGGCUUCGUUGCUAUGGUAACAGUCAGUGACUCCAUGUGACAUUUUCAAACUAACAUGGUGGACACGGCUACUAGAUAAAACGUUCACGAUAAUAAUCGCUUCCGUAGACAGCCUCGUCAUACACGGAAUCGGUUCAGGAACUUUUGUUCACUUGCCAUCACGACACGCUAACUAGCUUUAGUGCCUAGCGAGUUUAAUCCCCUUAAUCCCAGGCUACAUCCUGCCCCAAAAACACUUCCACCCUGCGCGUGAUUUAAUACAGUACUCCGCUAAUGCUAGUGAUGAUCGGAAAUAUCAAAGGACAGAAAGAACAUAAAGCAAAAUUACCGG